CCAGCGUGUACACCAGAGACUGAGCCCAGGUCUGCACCUGAAUGCACCACAGCAACAGAGAUGCAUGAUGGGUAGUCUCACCUUUCCCUCAAUUUCCUGUCCUGGCUCCACCUCCUUCAACAGGCUCAUCCUGCUGACUGUUGUCUUCACCUGACGUGAGGGGGAGGUAGAAACACACCUGAGUCCAGGUCAGCUGAUCAGUGAGACAGUCUGAAAGGACGUCCAUCCGUCCAGUCAGAAGCAGACGUCCUCCUGGAGAGAAAC